rnacentral:rRNA from 1 species
CACAAGCGGUGGAGCAUGUGGUUUAAUUCGUAAGCAACGCGAAGAACCUUACCAGGUCUUGACAUCCCCUGACAACCCGAGAGAUCGGGCGUUCCCCUUCGGGGGACAGGGUGACAGGUGGUGCAUGGUUGUCGUCAGCUCGUGUCGUGAGAUGUUGGGUUAAGUCCCGCAACGAGCGCAACCCUCGACCUUAGUUGCCAGCAUUCAGUUGGGCACUCUAAGGUGACUGCCGGCUAAAAGUCGGAGGAAGUGGGGAUGACGUCAAAUCAUCAUGCCCCUUAUGACCUGGGCUACACACGUGCUACAAUGGGCGGUACAAAGGGUCGCGAACCCGCGAGGGGGAGCCAAUCCCAAAAAGCCGCUCUCAGUUCGGAUUGCAGGCUGCAACUCGCCUGCAUGAAGCCGGAAUCGCUAGUAAUCGCGAAUCAGCAUGCCGCGGUGAAUACGUUCCCGGGCCUU